rnacentral:lncRNA from 1 species
GCUUACAGAGAUCAAAUUAAAUAGUAAACCAACAGCACUGACACAGGGACAAAAGAACAGGGCGAAGACAAAAUCAAGUAUGUGAUUAAUCAUGCCAUGAACUGGGAGAUUCUGCAAGAGGCUGAGAGGUCACCAGCAACACCCACCCCACGUACCAUCCAUGUCUUUAGGCAGGAGACAACCUUCUGCAUUCCGUUCACUGCCCUGACUCCAUUUUUCUGUCAAAGUUCAGCUGUAUCUGAGGUUUAUUUCGAGGGUCUCCCUCCUCAGAUUUCUCAUGACUAACUGUCCCCAUGAGCAAUUGCCUUUCAAGUUUCUUUUCAGUUUCAAUGAACUUCAGUUAGAUCACCAUUCCUUUUACUCAUCAAAGGCACAUGGAACUUUUAUAUAUGUACAAAACAGUGUUGGGAAUAUAUAUCUGAAAACAGACAACAACCCCAUCUUCAUAAUUUUCCCACUGAAGGAGGAUGUGAGGAAGGGACUAGGCAGGCUCAAUCCUGGAAAAGUUAGCAGAUGGAGAUGUGGUAAAAGCUGCAAGGACAUUGCUUUAUAGAUUAUAUCCAGCAGAGAUGUCACCUCCAUCACAUGCACCUAGUCAUGGGUAGGUAUUCUAUAAAUGUUAGCUUUUAUUGUGUGUCGCUACUACUAUUGCUGCUGUAGUAAUUUACAUGUAUUUCUUUUGCUAUUCCUGCACAGUCACAUAAUAGAAGGGUGAAAUGCCAGUCUCUUCCACAAAUGCUUUAUUUAGUGAAAUUACUCCAUUACUCAGGGAGUGGUGAAUCCCAACACCAAUAACAGUUUAUUUCUCUAUUUGUAAAAGGCUACUAUCAAGAAACACUGUUCAGCAGAUUUCAUUGAUUCUUCAAUUUCUUCCUUCAUUCAUUCAACUAACACAUUACUUAUGGAGUUCACUUUGUGUGCCAAACCUUAUGCUAAGGAUGGGAAGUAGAGUAAUUAAGAAAAUGGGCAUGGCCUUUGCCCUCCCGGAGCUCUCUGUGUCCCAAGAUUUUUGGAUAUCAAGAACUUCAACAACCUUAGAUGAGGUUGUUGAAGCCAGAAUUAGACAGGGAGUCAUUAUAGAUAGGUAAAUCGAGUCAGGUAAAUAGAGUUGGGUGGGCUCAAGGAGGCCAAUCUGAGUGAGUCUGGGAAGUUGGAGACUGUCCCCUGAGAGACUGAAAUGUUAAUUCCUUCAGAGCCCUUCCUCCACCCUUAUUAAGAACCUGCCCCUGCUCCAAACUGUUGCUAAGGUAACCUGACCCAGGAAUUGCCCCUCCCUACAGGGAGUUAUAAAAUUGUUAAUUAAUGUGUCUGGGGCUGCUCUAUCCUGCCCUUCCCCCAUCCAUCUGCUUCUCACCUUUUGGCCACCCACUGAGCAUCUCCUGGGCCUAGUCCUGUAAGCAGGAAGGAGGGAGAUAGGGGAAGAGAGCAGGAGGACAAAGGAAGCCUAGGACAUAUAAAAAGUCAAACACCCUCACUUCUUGGGAUACCAGGAUACCAGGCCCCCUUUGCCCUCCCUGGAGAAAUCUGUUACCCCUUUUUAAGUAAGCCCUGCUUUAUAUGCCUACCUCGGCGUGCUUCUCUAGUGUUAUACUUCAACAUGUGAAGGAGCAGCACAACUGGUCACUGAUAACUGGCAGUAUCAUUAUGUCAUGAAGGACGUCAAACUCAGCCUCCAGUAUCUGGAAGAGACAAUCUCAUUGUGCUUACCUGGAGCUGUGCCUGGUUCCAUGGGUACCUUCUGAGGUGUCUGCUGCAUGAAUGAACUGGUGAGUGAAGACUGGGAGGGUUGACAAGAGGAAUUAUUGCUAAAAUUUCAUUUGCUGUGCAAAUAACGAUCAUGAGGAACAGAGGGGUGUUCAUGGAAAUGCCUGGGAGUGAAUGAGUUCCUAUCGUGUGGUCACUACAAUGUUGACACUUUCUGACCAUUGCCUCCCAGCAGCCGUAGGAUUUAGCAUCAUUACUCCAAUUUUAGAGAUGAGAAAACAACAACAACAACAACAACAAAGUUUUGGGAUAUUAUUUAUAAUUUGGAAGCACGGAUAGUAAAGGAAUUGGGGACCAGAGAACAUGCUCAUGUCUGCCUUCUCCAGUCAUUCCCUAAAUCCCAUUUUUCUCACUGGGGAACAAGAGCUUCUUCUCCAGUCCAUAAUGAUGGGAAUGGAUGAGGUGACAGUCCAGCCUCAUCUGCCACAGCAGGAGAUGAGGAUCCUUUAGCAGAGACUAAUUCCCUGAAGGCAAUCAUCUCCCAACAUGCCUGAUGGGCAACUCUGAUAGUGAAGUCUCGCUUUCCUCCCAACAUUUUUCAAAUCAAGGAAAACAGCCACAGGUUUCCUGAACAUCGAAAGACCAGGGUCACUGUGCUGAGUGAAUUUUGAUACAGAACUUGGUUGCAUGGGACCUGGGGAUGGGAACUGAACGUCACCUGGUGCAGCUGUUCAUUUGAUGAAUCUCUCUAUUCCGUCCCCACCAUUCUACCCACCUGCCUGCACCUGACACUGCUAGGCUGGAGAUCUGGCUCAUGUUUCCAAAAGUGGCCCAUUUCACGUUCAGAAGGAGCCUUCUGGAAAGCCUACCCCAUGUUAAGCUGCAACCUGCUUCCAGCAGCUUCUCCUCUCCGGUUUUCAUUUUCUCCAUUGAGAGCCAUUUGGAAAUCCCAUCGUGUCCACGUCACUCCUAUGCUAUCUGCCACACCACAUACUUAGACUCCCAAUAUUUUUUUCAUCCAACUCAUUUUAACUUUACUUAUUUUAAUCUCCAAUGAAGCAAUAAUGCUUUGUAAUACAUUUUUUUUGUUUUCCUAACAAAUAUGAAUUAUAGUAUUGUUAGUGUGUUUUUAAUUAUAUAAAAAUCAUGCAUUACUCAAUGAUGCAAUACACUAUGAGGAAUGCAUCGCUAGGCAAUUUUGUCAUGGUGGUUAUUGGCAUCAGAUCAAUAUUGGCAUCAGAUCCACCAUUUUAGAUCAGGAGCCAUUUUUAUCUAGGGACUCUUGAGUUUUGAUUUAAGAGCCACUCUAUCUAGGGACUCCAGGCUUCGAUUCUGAAUGCACCUGCUACAAGGUUGAACCGCCUGAGCCCAUGACACAACCCUUAAGCAUGCUUGUGAAAUUCCUCUUGUGGGCUCUAAAGCUGCUCUGUGAGGGCCCACAGACUGCUGCUCCCCUUGGAGGGACAGCCUUGUGGGUUUGCUCCAUGCUACUGACAAUAAAUCUCUUGCAUGGGAUUCCGGUGUGUGGUGUGGUCCUUGGACUUUGCAUGAACUUUGCAAGUGUCCUUUCAGUGGGAACAUUGAAGAGUGUGCUUCUGUCAUCCCAAAUGGUAAAGCCAUCUCCACACCUGGCUGCAUGUUGAAGCCUAUGACUCUGAGGCCACAAACCUGUACCACAUGGUACGGCCACUAAGUACUACAGGCAGCUGUAGCACAGUGGUGGAUAUAUAUAUAUAUAUAUCUGAGUGCACCUAAAUGUAGGAAAGGCACAUUAAACAUGAAGUAUAGAAGAAAAAUAAAAGUGUCCACCUGUAUACCUUGCCAUGUUCAUGUGGCAUGACCAGGACAGGAAGUUGCUGUGGGUGAGUGGGUGGAACUGAAGGCGGAGGACAUUACUGUAGGCUCCACUGUCUACUUAGCCUACACUCGAUUUAUGUUUCAAAGUUGUUCCUUUAGCUCACCUUCACUCUUUUGCUUUAUAAUCUUUUACAUUUUUUAAACUUUUUGACUUCUUUGUAAUAGCACUUAGCUUAAAACACAAAUAUAUGGGAUUGCUACUCAAAAAUAUUUUUUUCUUUAUAGUCUUACUCUAUGACAUUUUUUCAACCUUUCAAAUAUUUUAUUUUUUUUUCAAGGCCCUGGGUUCAAUCCCCAAUACCCACAAAUUCUUUUUUCUUUUUUAACUUUUUCUGUUGAAAACAAAGAUACAAACACACAUUAGCCUAGGCCUACUCAGGGUCAGGUCGUCAGUGUUGCAGUCUUCUAUCUCAACAUCUUGUCUCACAGGAACAUCUUCAGAGGCUGUGACACACACAUGUCAGUGUCCUCUCCUAUGACAAUAGUGGCUUUUCUAAGAAUCACUCCUGAAGGACCUGCC